CGGAAUGGGCGAAAGCCUGACGCAGCGACGCCGCGUGAGGGAUGAAGGUCCUCGGAUCGUAAACCUCUGUCAGGAGGGAAGAACCGCCACGGUGCUAAUCAGCCGUGGUCUGACGGUACCUCCAAAGGAAGCACCGGCUAACUCCGUGCCAGCAGCCGCGGUAAUACGGAGGGUGCGAGCGUUAAUCGGAAUCACUGGGCGUAAAGCGCACGUAGGCUGCUUGGUAAGUCAGGGGUGAAAGCCCGCGGCUCAGCCGCGGAAUUGCCUUUGAUACUGCCGAGCUAGAGUCCGGGAGAGGGGUAGUGGAAUUCCAGGUGUAGGAGUGAAAUCCGUAGAGAUCUGGAGGAACAUCAGUGGCGAAGGCGACUACCUGGACCGGUACUGACGCUGAGGUGCGAAAGCGUGGGGAGCAAACAGGAUUAGAUACCU
rnacentral:rRNA from 1 species